GGACACCUACGGGGCGCAGCAGUAAGGGAUAUUGGUCAAUGGGAGAAACCCUGAACCAGCAAAGCCGCGUGAGGGAAGACGGAUUUCGGAUUGUAAACCUCUGUCCUCUGUGAAGAUGAUGACGGUAGCAGAGGAGGAAGCUCCGGCUAACUACGUGCCAGCAGCCGCGGAAAUACGUAGGGAGCGAGCGUUGUCCGGAUUUACUGGGUGUAAAGGGUGCGUAGGCGGCUUGGCAAGUCAGUAGUGAAAUCCAUGGGCGUAACCCAUGAACGGCUCUUGAAACUGUCGAGCUUGAG
rnacentral:rRNA from 1 species